CUCCCUUAGGCACGGCUUGCUCUGCCUGCCCUGCCUGCAGCAACCUCGUGAUUGGGAUCGGAAGCAUUAUAACUUGGUGGCACGCUGGAGUUGUGUGGUCAGGCCCCUCUGCCUGUGUAUCCAGCUCUCAGCUCGCAAACACCCUCCAGUUCCUGAGGGGAGCUUCUGAGCGGGAGGGAGAGCAGCUUUUUUACACGGGCAGAGGGUGACGGGACGAGGAAGAACGCCUUUAAACUGAAAGUGGAGGUUUAGCUGAGGAGGAAACCGCUUUCCCGGAGGGCGCCUACGCGACCGGCAGGAGCUGCAGAUGGAGCCUUGCACUGCCUCAGCAUCACAAAGCAUGGAACUUCGCUUGUGUAAAGCCUGCACUAUACCACUUCGCUUCAUGCAGUGUGUUCCCAUCCCAUGGGUUCCCAUCCCCAAGAAGAGCUGUUGGAGUGAAUAAUGGCCAUCGGCUGUGGCUGAGCUGCUGUGACCUACCUGUGGUCGUGCUGAGGAAUGGCGUCCACCACUGCAAAGCUUCAGGGACCUUUCUGUGCCUUUCAGCAGGGCGCCUGGCAGCAGACAACAGCACUCAUUCGAACCGUGAGGAGGGAGUAGGCGUCUGUAAGGGAGCCAAUCCCGUGUUCUGGUGCCAUGGUGGAAGACAGGUUUCUUCACACCACUCCGCAAUGAGUGAACUUUUGCAAGCAAGGUAAUAAAUCAGCACCGUGCUGUAAGUUGUUUGCUC
rnacentral:lncRNA from 7 species